GAUGAACGCUGGCGGCGUGCCUAAUACAUGCAAGUCGAGCGAACAGAUGAGGAGCUUGCUCCUCUGACGUUAGCGGCGGACGGGUGAGUAACACGUGGAUCACCUACCUAUAAGACUGGGAUAACUUCGGGAAACCGGAGCUAAUACCGGAUAAUAUAUUGAACCGCAUGGUUCAAUAGUGAAAGACGGUUUUGCUGUCACUUAUAGAUGGAUCCGCGUCGCAUUAGCUAGUUGGUAAGGUAACGGCUUACCAAGGCAACGAUGCGUAGCCGACCUGAGAGGGUGAUCGGCCACACUGGAACUGAGACACGGUCCAGACUCCUACGGGAGGCAGCAGUAGGGAAUCUUCCGCAAUGGGCGAAAGCCUGACGGAGCAACGCCGCGUGAGUGAUGAAGGUCUUCGGAUCGUAAAACUCUGUUAUUAGGGAAGAACAAAUGUGUAAGUAACUAUGCACGUCUUGACGGUACCUAAUCAGAAAGCCACGGCUAACUACGUG
rnacentral:rRNA from 1 species